UGGGGAAUAUUGGACAAUGGGGGCAACCCUGAUCCAGCCAUGCCGCGUGUGUGAAGAAGGCCUUUUGGUUGUAAAGCACUUUAAGCAGGGAGGAGAGGCUAAUGGUUAAUACCCAUUAGAUUAGACGUUACCUGCAGAAUAAGCACCGGCUAACUCUGUGCCAGCAGCCGCGGUAAUACAGAGGGUGCGAGCGUUAAAUCGGAAUUACUGGGCGUAAAGCGAGUGUAGGUGGCUCAUUAAGUCACAUGUGAAAUCCCCGGGCUUAACCUGGGAACUGCAUGUGAUACUGGUGGUGCUAGAAUAUGUGAGAGGGAAGUAGAAUUCCCAGGUGUAGCGGUGAAAUGCGUAGAGAUCUGGAGGAAUACCGAUGGCGAAGGCAGCUUCCUGGCAUAAUAUUGACACUGAGAUUCGAAAGCGUGGGUAGCAAAACAGGAUUAGAUACCCUGGUAGUCCACGCCGUAAACGAUGUCUACUAGCCGUUGGGGUCCUUGAGACUUUAGUGGCGCAGUUAACGCGAUAAGUAGACCGCCUGGGGAGUACGGCC
rnacentral:rRNA from 1 species